UUUUUUGAGGGUUUGAUCUUAGCUCAGGAUUAACGCUGGCGGUGUGCCUAACACAUGCAAGUCGAGCGACGAACCGGGGAAAUUUUACUUUACCGUAGAAUUUUCCGGGGGAAAGCGGCGAAUGGGUGAGUAACACCUGGGUAAUCUACCUUUUGAACCAGUAUAAUUCGUCGAAAGACGGACUAAUACCGGAUAUACUCGGAAAAAUAAUUUUUUUCUGAGAAAAGGUGUAUUUUCAAAAAAUAUAUCGUCAAAAGAUGAGCCUGGGUCCUAUUAGCUAGUUGGUAAGGUAAUGGCUUACCAAGGCUAUGAUAGGUAGCUGGUCUGAGAGGACGGUCAGCCACAUGGGGAUUGAGAAACAGCCCCAACUCCUACGGGAGGCAGCAGUGAGGAAUCUUGGACAAUGCCCGAAAGGGUGAUCCAGCGACACCGCGUGGGUGAUGAAAGCUUUCGAGUUUUAAAACCCUGUCAAGUGGGAAGAAUGUCUGAUUUAUCAGACGUGACGGUACCACUGAAGGAAGCUCCGGCUAAUCCCGUGCCAGCAGCCGCGGUAAGACGGGAGGGGCAAGCGUUAUCCGGAUUUAUUGGGUGUAAAGGGUUCGUAAGUGGUCAGGUAAGUCAAAUCUUAAAUAUUUCAGCUUAACUGAAAAACCGGUUUGAAACUACCUGACUAGAGUGCGAAGGAGGGAAGUGGAACUGCCGGUGUAGCGGUGAAAUGCGUAGAUAUCGGCAGGAACACCAAUUGCAAAGGCAACUUUCUAUUUCGAUACUGACACUGAGGAACGAAAGCAUGGGGAGCAAUCGGGAUUAGAUACCCCGGUAGUCCAUGCCGUAAACGAUGGGUGCUAGGUGUGGGUCCGGUUUUCGGAUCCGUGCCGAAGCUAACGCGUUAAGCACCUCACCUGGGAACUACGACCGCAAGGUUGAAACCCAAAAGAAUUGACGGGGGCCCGCACAACCAGUGGAGCAUGUGGUUCAAUUCGAUGGUACGCGAGGAACCUUACCUGGGCUUGACAUGUUGGUAGUACUAACCCGAAAGGGAAGGGAAUCUGAUUUUAUCAGAUAGCCAAUACAGGUGGUGCAUGGCUGUCGUCAGCUCGUGUCGUGAGAUGUUGGGUUAAGUCCCGUAACGAGCGCAACCCUUGCCUGCAGUUACUCGUGCAAACAGCACUCUGCAGGGACUGCCGUGGUUAACACGGAGGAAGGUGGGGAUGAUGUCAAGUCAUCACGCCCCUUAUGUCCAGGGCUACACACGUGCUACAAUGGUUGGUACAAAGGGAAGCUAAACCGCAAGGUGGCGCAAACCUCAAAAAACCAACCCCAGUUCGGACUGCAGGCUGCAAUUCGCCUGCAUGAAGUUGGAAUUGGUAGUAAUCGCGGAUCAGCGAUGCCGCGGUGAAUACGUUCUCGGGCCUUGUACACACCGCCCGUCACGCCAGCUGAAUCGAGAGUGCCUGAAGUCCCCAUUUAUUUGGAGCCCAGGGCAAAUUCGGUAAGGAGGGCGAAGUCGUAACAAGGCAGCCGUACCGGAAGGUGCGGCUGGAUCACCUCCUUU
rnacentral:rRNA from 1 species